UACAGAGGGUGCAAGCGUUAAUCGGAGUUACUGGGCGUAAAGGGCGCGUAGGUGGUUGUGUAAGUUGGAUGUGAAAUCCCUGGGCUUAACCUAGGAACUGCAUUCAGAACUGCAUAGCUAGAGUAUUGUAGAGGGUAGUGGAAUUUCCGGUGUAGCGGUGAAAUGCGUAGAGAUCGGAAGGAACACCAGUGGCGAAGGCGGCUACCUGGACAAAUACUGACACUGAGGCGCGAGAGCGUGGGGAGCAAACAGG
rnacentral:rRNA from 1 species